rnacentral:tRNA from 1 species
AGUGGUUAAGCAUUUGGCUGCUAACCAAAAGGUUGGCAGUUCGAAUCUAUCAGCCACUC